rnacentral:rRNA from 1 species
UGGGUAACCUACCUCAUACAGGGGGAUAACAGUUGGAAACGACCGCUAAUACCGCAUAACCCGCUAGUAUCGCAUGAUACGGACGGAAAAGAUUUAUCGGUGUGAGAUGGACCCGCGUCUGAUUAGCCAGUUGGCAGGGUAACGGCCUACCAAAGCAACGAUCGGUAGCCGGCCUGAGAGGGUGAACGGCCACAUUGGGACUGAGACACGGCCCAAACUCCUACGGGAGGCAGCGGUGGGGAAUAUUGCACAAUGGGGGAAACCCUGAUGCAGCGACGCCGCGUGAGUGAGGAAGUAUUUCGGUAUGUAAAGCUCUAUCAGCGAGGAAGAAAAUGACGGUACCUGACUAAGAAGCCCCGGCUAACUACGUGCCAGCAGCCGCGGUAAUACGUAGGGGGCAAGCGUUAUCCGGAUUUACUGGGUGUAAAGGGAGCGUAGACGGUUAAUCAAGUCAGAAGUGAAAACCCGGGGCUCAACCUUGGGACUGCUUUUGAAACUGA